rnacentral:rRNA from 1 species
GUAGGUGGCAAGCGUUGUCCGGAAUUAUUGGGCGUAAAGCGCGCGCAGGCGGUUCUUUAAGUCUGAUGUGGAAGCCCACGGCUCAACCGUGGAGGGUCAUUGGAAACUGGAGAACUUGAGUACAGAAGAGGAAAGCGGAAUUCCACGUGUAGCGGUGAAAUGCGUAGAGAUGUGGAGGAACACCAGUGGCGAAGGCGGCUUUCUGGUCUGUAACUGACGCUGAGGCGCGAAAGCGUGGGGAGCAAACAGGAUUAGAUACCCUGGUAGUCCACGCCGUAAACGAUGAGUGCUAAGUGUUAGGGGGGUUUCCGCCCCCCUUAGUGCUGCAGCUAACGCAUUAAGCACUCCGCCUGGGAGUACGGCCGCAAGGCUG